rnacentral:rRNA from 1 species
GACAGAGGGGGCAAGCGUUGCUCGGAAUUACUGGGCGUAAAGGGCGCGUAGGCGGGAUGGCAAGUCGGUCGUGAAAUCCCUCGGCUCAACCGAGGAACGUCGAUCGAUACUGCUGUUCUUGAGGAUUGCAGAGGAGACUGGAAUUCCCGGUGUAGCGGUGAAAUGUGUAGAGAUCGGGAGGAACACCGGUGGCGAAGGCGGGUCUCUGGGCAGUAACUGACGCUGAGAAGCGAAAGCGUGGGGAGCGAACAGG